rnacentral:lncRNA from 1 species
UCUUUUUGAGUUGUCAGGAGAGGAGCUGCAGAAGGGAAAAUGGCUGCCGCAACCGCAUCUCCCAUGGCCAGUCAGCUCAAGAGCAGCUUUGCAUCAUCAUCGUCCAGGAGCCUGAUUGCUCCCAAGGGCCUCUCUGGUUCCUCCUUCAGAGCCUUGCCCACCAGGAGGACUCGCUCCUUCACUGUCAAGGCUAUCCAAUCCGAGAAGGUGAGUCUUCUCGCGUCCAUCCUGCCUUGUGUAUCACGAGUCACGAUUCGAUCGAACGUGCUUGUGCCGCGUAAAAUCAAGGAAUUGGUCUUUCAGACAUCUUUAUGUUAUUCUCUAGUCAUCUGACUUGUUUAGCUAGUCUUGGAAGAAGAAAAUGAGACUUGAAGAUAAUGAGUGGAAGUGCCUUCUCUUCCACCAUUCAGUCUAGUUUCUCAUUCUUGGUUCACCCUUCUUAGUCCUUUGGAUCUGUGUAUAUAGAAGAAUAAUUUCACAUGGCAUAGGGUUGCAAGAAGCUGGUCUUUUUGUAUUUGAACUGAUUGAGCUAAUCCGAGAGUAAAGGUCACCGUGAUUGGAUUUCUGCUGUGUGAUUUUUUCUGUAGUGAUAAUUUUUUGUAGCUUGCUAAAAGAGUCAACUAAGAGAUUAUAGCUUCCAAUAUGGAAGAGGGGUGAGGGGUUCGAAUCUCACUUCUUUAUCGAGAAGGUGAGAUGGGAACGAUUUAGUUUCAAAUAUAAGUUUUGAUCUCAUGCCCUUGCAAGAAAGCGAGACAAAAGUCUGAGAGUGAAUUAGAGUAGGAGUAGAGUAGGAUCGACAAAAAACAAAAAGAAAAACUAAGAGAUUAUAGCAUGCUAUCAUUCAUUUGCAAAUACAUAUUCUCUGAGUGACUUCAUUCACUCAUUACAUUAGUUGAUGGGUUUCAAUUCCUGCAUCUACCUUUUGCAUGCAGCCAACCUUCCAAGUGGUUCAACCCCUCAAUGGUGACCCUUUCAUUGGAAGCCUCGAGACUCCGGUCACAUCCAGCCCGCUCAUUGCAUGGUACCUCUCCAACCUCCCCGCCUACAGGACUGCCGUGAACCCGCUCCUCCGAGGCGUCGAGGUGGGCCUCGCCCACGGAUUCCUCUUGGUGGGCCCUUUCGUCAAGGCCGGCCCUUUGAGGAACACGGAGUAUGCAGGAGCAGCAGGAUCAUUGGCCGCCGGAGGCCUGGUUGUGAUCCUGAGCAUCUGCUUGACAAUGUAUGGGAUCGCCUCAUUCAAUGAAGGAGAGCCCUCGACAGCACCGUCGCUAACCUUGACCGGGAGGAAGAAGGAGCCU